UACGUAGGUGGCAAGCGUUGUCCGGAUUUACUGGGCGUAAAGAGCGCGCAGGCGGUCAGAAAAGUCGAAUGUGAAAGCCCCCGGCUCAACUGGGGAGGGUCAUUCGAUACUGUUCGACUCGAAGGCAGGAGAGGGAAGUGGAAUUCCCGGUGUAGUGGUGAAAUGCGUAGAGAUCGGGAAGAACACCCGUGGCGAAGGCGGCUCACUGGGCUGACCUUGACGCUGAGGCGCGAAGGCGUGGGGAGCGAACGGG
rnacentral:rRNA from 1 species